GAUGAACGCUGGCGGCGUGCUUAACACAUGCAAGUCGAACGGAAAGGCUCCUGCUUGCAGGGGUACUCGAGUGGCGAACGGGUGAGUAACACGUGGGUGAUCUGCCCUGCACUUCGGGAUAAGCCUGGGAAACUGGGUCUAAUACCGGAUAGGACGAUGGUUUGGAUGCCAUUGUGGAAAGUUUUUCGGUGUGGGAUGAGCUCGCGGCCUAUCAGCUUGUUGGUGGGGUAAUGGCCUACCAAGGCGUCGACGGGUAGCCGGCCUGAGAGGGUGUACGGCCACAUUGGGACUGAGAUACGGCCCAGACUCCUACGGGAGGCAGCAGUGGGGAAUAUGGCACAAUGGGCGCAAGCCUGAUGCAGCGACGCCGCGUGGGGGAUGACGGCCUUCGGGGUGUAAACUCCUUUCGCUAGGGACGAAGCGCAAGUGACGGUACCUGGAGAAGAAGCACCGGCUAACUACGUG
rnacentral:rRNA from 1 species